GACGAACGCUGGCGGCGUGCUUAACACAUGCAAGUCGAACGGAAAGGCCCUGCUUUUGUGGGGUGCUCGAGUGACGAACGGGUGAGUAACACGUGAGUAACCUGCCCUUGACUUUGGGAUAACUUCAGGAAACUGGGGCUAAUACCGGAUAGGAGCUCCUGCUGCAUGGUGGGGGUUGGAAAGUUUCGGCGGUUGGGGAUGGACUCGCGGCUUAUCAGCUUGUUGGUGGGGUAGUGGCUUUCCAAGGCUUUGACGGGUAGCCGGCCUGAGAGGGUGACCGGCCACAUUGGGACUGAGAUACGGCCCAGACUCCUACGGGAGGCAGCAGUGGGGAAUAUUGCACAAUGGGCGGAAGCCUGAUGCAGCAACGCCGCGUGCGGGAUGACGGCCUUCGGGUUGUAAACCGCUUUCGCCUGUGACGAAGCGUGAGUGACGGUAAUGGGUAAAGAAGCACCGGCUAACUACGUG
rnacentral:rRNA from 1 species